rnacentral:rRNA from 1 species
GCCGCGUGCAGGAAGAAUGCCCUAUGGGUUGUAAACUGCUUUUAUUUGGGAAUAAACCUCUUUACGUGUAGAGAGCUGAAGGUACCAAAUGAAUAAGCACCGGCUAACUCCGUGCCAGCAGCCGCGGUAAUACGGAGGGUGCAAGCGUUAUCCGGAAUCAUUGGGUUUAAAGGGUCCGCAGGCGGAUUUAUAAGUCAGUGGUGAAAUCCUAUCGCUUAACGAUAGAACUGCCAUUGAUACUGUAAGUCUUGAAUUCGGUCGGAGUGGGCGGAAUGUGUAGUGUAGCGGUGAAAUGCAUAGAUAUUACACAGAACACCGAUAGCGAAGGCAGCUCACUAGGCCUGAAUUGACGCUCAGGGACGAAAGCGUGGGGAUCAAACAGGAUUAGAUACCCUGGUAGUCCACGCUGUAAACGAUGAUUACUCGUUUUCGGCGAUAUACAGUCGGAGACUAAGCGAAAGUGAUAAGUAAUCCACCUGGGGAGUACGAUCGCAAGGUUG